UACGAAGGGGGCUAGCGUUGCUCGGAAUCACUGGGCGUAAAGGGUGCGUAGGCGGGUCUUUAAGUCAGGGGUGAAAUCCUGGAGCUCAACUCCAGAACUGCCUUUGAUACUGAGGAUCUUGAGUACGGGAGAGGUGAGUGGAACUGCGAGUGUAGAGGUGAAAUUCGUAGAUAUUCGCAAGAACACCAGUGGCGAAGGCGGCUCUCUGGACCGAGACUGACGCUGAGGCGCGAAAGCGUGGGGAGCAAACAGG
rnacentral:rRNA from 1 species